AAGGAGAACAUAGGCUUUAUGCUUUGAAAUUAUAAAGUGAUAAAACUAUAUUUUAGUUGAUACAUUGAAAGGGAAGAAAAUAUGAAUGAAGUUGUUAAAUUAAUUUAUGUUAUGAUUAUUUUUCUUUCUCCAUUUCUUACAACAGGGAGCAGAAAUUGGGCCAUGACUCAAACUACUUGUCUUAAAGAUUCAGAUUGUCCACAAAAUGUUUGCUCUGAACCUUUUGCCCCGACGUGUUAUUUUGAUUGGUGUAAAUGUAUGAAAAACCGGAAUAAAUUUUUAUAAUUGUGGAUACGAUUGGUGACUAUAUGUUAGAAUGACGCCAUGCAUGGAUUCUAUGAGUACCAGCACCAAGAGAGAGCACAAACUCCCUAAUAGAAUAUUCUAUGAUUUUCUCUUAAUUAAUUGUGUUUAAUAUAAUUUUCCAUUUAAAUAAAACUUGAAUAAAAUGAAUAUAUGUUAGUAUAUGUUAAAGAACCAUAAUAAAAACAUUUAAAUAUCCAUGAU